CCUAGGAAACAUUACACUUGUUCUCGUCUCCGUUGCAUCCCAUCAUAAGAGUUCAAAAUUGUAGGGCUUCUAGGCUUCAGUAAUUAGAAACCUCAAAUGUGCCACUAAGAGGACCAAAAAAAUCCCCAAUUUCGAAGCCGGUGCGAAGAGAAAAACUAUCAAAAGGCUUCCAAAAUCCAUAAUUAGAGCAAAGAAAGUGAUCAAGUACUCUCACAUGGCGAGAUCAAGCCCGCAUUUUUUUCAAGCUGAGCUGCGGGCAGCCUGGGUAGAUGUCUUCUUCGCACGGUUGCAGCUGCAGGUGGAGAGACUGAUGAUAGAAGGUGAUUCAUCUACAGCCAUUGGCUAGUUGCGAAAGCACUUGAAGGUCAGGGAUGCUCAUUCUCUUCUCGAUGACAUUUGAUGUCUUAUACGGAGUUGCUUAUCGACUAACUUCAGGCACAUCUACUGAGGGGCCAAUAGUGUGGCAGAUUGGAUGGCCUCUUUUGUGGCUGAGCACUUCGGUGAAGUUGUGUGGACUGAGUUGGCUGAGGUGCCGAGAGCUUUCCGUGAUAUUCUUCUUUUCGAUCUUUUUGAUUGUAUUCAUACUCACAAUGUAUGAGUGCUUUAUUUCUACCAACAAAAAAAUUGUUACAAUAUCUCAAGUUGAUUUGAAUAGCUCAUUUUGUGCCAUUGUUAUCA